rnacentral:rRNA from 1 species
UACGUGGGUGACGAGCGUUGUCCGGAUUUACUGGGCGUAAAGAGCGCGCAGGCGGUCGUUCAAGUCGAGUGUGAAAGCCCCCGGCUCAACUGGGGAGGGUCACUCGAUACUGAUCGACUCGAAGGCAGGAGAGGGUAGUGGAAUUCCCGGUGUAGUGGUGAAAUGCGUAGAUAUCGGGAGGAACACCAGUGGCGAAGGCGACUACCUGGCCUGUUCUUGACGCUGAGGCGCGAAAGCUAGGGGAGCAAACGGG